rnacentral:misc_RNA from 1 species
UGGUUCUGGCAUCGAUGAAGAACGCAGCGAAAUGCGAUAAGUAAUGUGAAUUGCAGAAUUCAGUGAAUCAUCGAAUCUUUGAACGCAUAUUGCGCCCUUUGGCAUUCCGAAGGGCAUGCCUGUUCGAGCGUCAUUACACCCCUCAAGCCCGGCUUGGUGUUGGGCAGGGCCGGUGGCCCGCCUGAAAAUCAGCACGGUCGUGUGAACCUGGCGCACAAACGCCGCCGACGGGAUCACGGUCCGUUCGUGCAUGAUGCAAACACGUUGACCUCGGAUCAGGUAGGAAUACCCGCUGA